rnacentral:misc_RNA from 1 species
GUGAAUCAUCAAAUUUUUGAACGCAAAUUGCGCUCCCUGGUAUUACGAGGAGUAUGUCUGUGUGAGGGUAGUUAGAAGAAAAAUCGAAGCAUCUCUCUUUUUUUGGAGGGUGAUCGCGUCGGAAUUGUGCAGUCUUUCAAAUGUUAAUUCAUGUCAAAGUGGCUUAUAAUUCAUUCAUCGGGUACGAUUUUAGCGUAUUUAAGAGUAUAU